rnacentral:rRNA from 1 species
AUGAAGUUCAAGGACGGGUACAUGAUCUCAUCUGGUCAGCCCGUCAACGAGUACAUUGAUGCUACAGUUAGGCACGUUCUUCUCAGACAUGGCGUUCUUGGUAUCAAGGUGAAGAUUAUGCUUGACUGGGACCCCAAGGGCAAGCUUGGCCCUACCACCCCGCUGCCUGACCUCGUCACCAUCCACCCCCUGAAGGAGGAGGAUGAGCUGCGCCCACCGGCUUUGGUUGAGGUCUAA